UUUUUUUUUUUUUUGGCCCAAUCUGCUAGUCUAUGUCUUUUGAUUGGUAAAUUUAGGCCAUUAACAGUCAGGAUUAUUAUUGAGACAUGAUUUGUAUUCCCAGCCAUUUUUGUUUAUUUUUGGUAUUUAAUGUGACUUGGUUUCUCCUCUGAUUAGUUUAAUACCUCCCUCUGCUGAUUUUCAUCAUUGUUUUUCAUUUCCUCUUCUUGGAAUAUUUUGCCGAGGAUGUUCUGUAGUGCAGGCUUUCUAGUUGUAAAUUCUUUUAACUUUUGUUUAUAAUGGAAGGUUUUUUAUUUCAUCAUCAAAUCUAAAGCUUAGUUUUUCUGGAUAUAAGAUUCUUGGUUGGCAUCCAUUUUCUUUCAGAGCUUGGUAUAUGUUGUUCCACAAUCUCCUGGCUUUGAGUGUCUGGUUGAAAAAUCUGCUUAGAUACGAAUUGGUCUCCCCAUAUAUGUGACUUGAUUCUGCUCUCUUGAGACUCUUAAGAUUCUAUCCUAAUUCUGUAUGCUAGACAUUUUCAUUAUAAUGUGCCUUAGUGUAGAUCUGUAAUAAUUUUGUACAUUUGGUGUCCUGUAAGCCUCUUGUAUUUGGUUUUCCAAUUCAUUCUUCAUGCUUGGGAAAUUUUCUGAUAUUAUCUCAUUGAAGAUAUUGCUCAUUCCUUUGGUUUGAAACUCUGUGCCUUCCUCUAUCCCAAUAACUCUUAGAUUUGGUCUUUUGAUGCUGUCCCAUAGUUCUUAGAUGUUCUGUUCAUGGUUUCUUACCAUCUUCACUGUGUGAUCAACUUUAUUUUCCAGAUUGUAUACUUUGUCUUUAUUAUCUGAUGUUCUUUCUUCCAAGUGAUGUAAUCUGUUGGUUAUGCUUUCUACUGAAUUUUUUAUUUGAUUUAUUGUAUCCUUCAUUUCAAGGAUUUCUGAAUGGAUUUUUUCAGAGUCUCUCUCUCUCUCUCUCUCUCUCUCUCGAAGUAUUCUUUUGCUGCCUGUAUUUGCUCUUAUCUCUUUGUUGGAGUGAUCAAUUUUUGCCUGUAUUUGCUCAUUUAGGUCAUUCUUUAUUUCCCAGAUCAUUUUAAUUAUGAACCUUCUGAACUCCUUCUCUGACAUUUCAUCAACUUCACUGUCCAUGGGUUCUCUUAUUAUAGUAUCCUGGUUUGUUUGUGACACUUUCC
rnacentral:lncRNA from 1 species